AUGUGCGGUAUUAUGAUGAAAACGCUCGAGCUUGGUCUUUGCUCAAUCUGGAAGAAAUAUUAUGAAGAGGAACAUGUUGUAGUAUUUGUUGUAGAUGCAUCUUGUCCCUCACGAUUUGAAGAUUCAAAGUCUUCACUUGAGUUACUUUGUUUAAUGUUGAGAGGAAAGAUCAAGACACGAGGAUUAUCAUCAGUUCUUCUAUAA